UAAGACGAAGGGUGCUAGCGUUGUUCGGAUUGACUGGGCGUAAAGGGCGCGUAGGCGGUUUUUUAAGUUAGGCGUGAAAGCCCUGGGCUUAACCCAGGACGUGCGUUUAAGACUGGAAAACUUGAGAUUGGAAGAGGAAAGUGGAAUUCCUAGUGUAGAGGUGAAAUUCGUAGAUAUUAGGAAGAACACCAGUGGCGAAGGCGACUUUCUGGUCCAAUACUGACGCUGAGGCGCGAAAGUGUGGGGAGCAAACAGG
rnacentral:rRNA from 1 species